GGGGGCGUACAGGCUUCGACAUACAUGCAAGUUAUUAAGUUGCAGUAGUUUGGCAAACUAUAAUGCUACUAGGCUUUUUAAGCGCAGAAGAAAAACAAAACAAACAAUCAUUUGUUUUAAAUCAAAUGAUGUCAUCAAAUCCAGUUUUUGCAUACUAAUAAAUUCUGGUAGGCUAAUGAAUAGCUCGGUUCAUUGCUAGCCUUUGGAGAGCUCAGCAAUUAAAGUGGCGUUUUAAUUGCAAAAUUAUGCCAAUGGUUAUUAUGAAGAUUGUUAAUUUGAUAAUAAUAUAACCAAACAUAAAAUUAACUAAACUGUAGAUACUUAAUAAUGAACAUGUGUGGACCGGGGUUCGAUUCCCCGCGCUUCCACCA
rfam:Mycoplasma hominis ATCC 23114 chromosome complete genome